rnacentral:lncRNA from 1 species
GCAUCCUCUCCUUUCACGGCCGGGGUGGCAGGGUGAGGGCAGACCUCCUGGGCUCUGUGGCCUCGCAUCAUAGAGGGCACUGUGCCGGGUCCACAGGCGGAGGGCAGCUUGACAAGCCUGAGCGCCCUGCCUUCCUGUGCUGCUGAAAAAAGGCAAGGCCCUGGGUGUGGUCGAUUGGCAGUGGUGUUGGUUUACUCAACAGUAAACACUUGUAGGAUUCGGGGACAAUCCACAGAAAUUUGCCGGUCAUGGGCCUCCGAGUCACAUGGGCAAGGUGAGUCAUUGCUGCUCAUGGACAUCUUCCCCAGAUGCUUAAAGGGGACAGGUGCUGAUGGCAAGAUGGAAAUAACAGACGACAUCGGAGCCCCAGGAUCCAAUGUGUCUCAACACCCUUGGAUGCCUUCUCAGUCAGUGUGUUCUGGGACUGCAGCCUAUUCAUUUAUUAUUAAGAGAACGGUAAUUAUUUCCAGGAGCUCCUGAGGAUACACUUUCCUUCUCUUCUGCCUGAUCUCUGCUGAGUCUGGUGUAACCUUCAUAUCUCCCAGGAUGUCCGUGGCAGGAAGCGACAGCCCCGUGUGCCUGGUGGAAUGCACCAAAGACCCUGCUGGAGAGGGAAGACCUGUAGACCACUGCUUCUCACAUUUUAAUGAGCAUAUGGGGCCCCUGGGCUCUUGCCAAAAUGCAGAAUCUGAUUCAGGAGGUCUGGGGUGAGGCUUGAGAUUCUGUUUGUCUAAUAAGCUCCCAGGUGAGGCUGAUGCUGCUGGUCUGUGGACCACAUUUUGAGCAGGAGGACUAUAGAAGAUCAUCAGCUCUUUCUUCACUGGGGAAUGUUGUAGCAGGGCUGAACACAGGCUUGCCCAUAUCCCAUCUGUCUGUCUGAGGUGUACAGUGCUGGCCUGUAAACUCAGUGGAGUUAGUGCCUUUUUGCCUGCAACUGAAUCUCCAGUGCCAGGCGUAUGGAAAAGACUCAAGAAAUAUCUGUCAAAUGAAUGCCUCCUGUUCACCCUUUUCCAUGGAUAUGUGUAUGUGGAGGUUUACCUGACAUUCUUCCAAUUUGAUGCUGUUAAUGGAGCCUGGACCUUCCUUCAUCCCAUGGGCUGAAGUCUGGACCCAUCACCUAAUUCAAGACAACCUGGAUGUCCAGGGCUGGACCAUGUGACAUGCAGCUCUCUCCUGGAUUUGAUAAACCUCAUCCUAAUGCUCGAGCACCUAUCUGAUUUGAGGUGCUCCUUUCAUUGACUACUAAACUGUUCCGCAUAUCAUGCCCAUGGACCAGACCAGCUGGGGAUUGAUUAUAGCAAAAUAUUUCACUAGAGUUCCUUACAACUUCUUUGGACUCAAUGGUUGACACUCUUGACUACUUCCUAUUACAGCUCUUCUGGCUUGGUUAAUUUUCUCCAAAUCUUUUAGCACCUUCCUGCUUCCUUACUUGGAAAUCCCAUCAAAGCUGUAUGGUUGGAGCUAGGCCAAUGAUGACAUG